rnacentral:rRNA from 1 species
AUUGAACGCUGGCGGCAGGCCUAACACAUGCAAGCCGAACGAGUGGCGGCCGGGUGAUUAAUGUCUGGGCAACUGCCUGAUGGAGGGGGAUCACUUCUGGAAACGGUAGCUAAUACCGCAUACCAUCAGAUGUGCCCACAUGGGAUUAGCUUGUUGGUGGGGUAACGGCUCACCAAAGCGACGAUCCCUAGCUGGGCUGAGAGGAUGACCAGCCACACUGGAACUUAGGCACGGUCCAGACUCCUACGGGAGGCAGCAGUGGGGAAUGUUGCACAAUGGGCGCAAGCCUGAUACAGCCAUGCCGCGUGGGUGAAGAAGGCCUUCGGGUUGUAAAGUACUUUCAGCGGGGAGGCGUUACCCGGAGAGGAAGCACCGGCUAACUCCGUGCCAGCAGCCGCGGUAAUUC